rnacentral:rRNA from 1 species
GCUAAUAUUAGAGGGAAAAGGAGCAAUCCGCUUUGAGAUGGCCUCGCGUCCGAUUAGCUAGUUGGUGAGGUAACGGCCCACCAAGGCAACGAUCGGUAGCCGGACUGAGAGGUUGAACGGCCACAUUGGGACUGAGACACGGCCCAGACUCCUACGGGAGGCAGCAGUGGGGAAUAUUGCACAAUGGGGGAAACCCUGAUGCAGCGACGCCGCGUGGAGGAAGAAGGUCUUCGGAUUGUAAACUCCUGUUGUUGAGGAAGAUAAUGACGGUACUCAACAAGGAAGUGACGGCUAACUACGUGCCAGCAGCCGCGGUAAAACGUAGGUCACAAGCGUUGUCCGGAAUUACUGGGUGUAAAGGGAGCGCAGGCGGGAAGACAAGUUGGAAGUGAAAUCCAUGGGCUCAACCCAUGAACUGCUUUCAAAACUGUUUUUCUUGAGUAGUGCAGAGGUAGGCGGAAUUCCCGGUGUAGCGGUGGAAUGCGUAGAUAUCGGGAGGAACACCAGUGGCGAAGGCGGCCUACUGGGCACCAACUGACGCUGAGGCUCGAAAGUGUGGGUAGCAAACAGGAUUAGAUACCCUGGUAGUCCACACCGUAAACGAUGAUUACUAGGUGUUGGAGGAUUGACCCCUUCAGUGCCGCAGUUAACACAAUAAGUAAUCCACCUGGGGAGUACGACCGCAAGGUUGAAACUCAAAGGAAUUGACGGGGGCCCGCACAAGCAGUGGAGUAUGUGGUUUAAUUCGACGCAACGCGAAGAACCUUACCAAGUCUUGACAUCCCUUGACGGUGCUGGAAACAGUACUUCUCUUCGGAGCAAGGAGACAGGUGGUGCAUGGUUGUCGUCAGCUCGUGUCGUGAGAUGUUGGGUUAAGUCCCGCAACGAGCGCAACCCUUAUGGUCAGUUACUACGCAAGAGGACUCUGGCCAGACUGCCGUUGACAAAACGGAGGAAGGUGGGGAUGACGUCAAAUCAUCAUGCCCUUUAUGACUUGGGCUACACACGUACUACAAUGGCGUUAAACAAAGAGAAGCAAGACCGCGAGGUGGAGCAAAACUCAGAAACAACGUCCCAGUUCGGACUGCAGGCUGCAACUCGCCUGCACGAAGUCGGAAUUGCUAGUAAUCGUGGAUCAGCAUGCCACGGUGAAUACGUUCCCGGGCCUUGUACACACCGCCCGUCACACCAUGAGAGCCGGGGGGACCCGAAGUCGGUAGUCUAACCGCAAGGAGGACGCCGCCGAAGGUAAAACUGGUGAUUGGGGUGAAGUCGUAACAAGGU